GAAAAAUAUCGUGGAUAAUAUAAGAGUUAAAAAAAAACAUGAACAUGAAUUUCAAUCUCUCUUCCUGUUACAGAAAUGGAGUUGACUUUGAAACAUAAUCGUUCACAUAUCCAGAGAUAUCCUGUUUUCAACGCAUCGCUACGUUCAUACGAUUAGCUUGAUUAUAUCGUAUUUACAUUAGGGCCAAGAUUGGUCUCUAACUAAAUUCGCUUCUGAGUUUCUGAAACGUUCCAGUUACAAGUUAAAAUUGAAACUCUACCAUGCUAAAAAUCCUCGUGGAAAGAAGAAACUUCUAGUCCAGAGAGGCGAAGGAAAAAAUUAGGUUAGAAGACCAAAAGAGAAAGUGUAAACGGAGCAAAAAAGUUGGUCAGUCCAGGAAGUAGUCGGUGAAGCUCCAAUGCGAGAGCAAAGAAGAAAAAAAAGAAGAAAAGAGAAUCGGUGGAUGGAAAGG